GAUCCUGGCUCAGAGUGAACGCUGGCGGUAGGCCUAACACAUGCAAGUCGAACGGCAGCACAGGAGAGCUUGCUCUCUGGGUGGCGAGUGGCGGACGGGUGAGGAAUACAUCGGAAUCUACUUUUUCGUGGGGGAUAACGUAGGGAAACUUACGCUAAUACCGCAUACGACCUACGGGUGAAAGCAGGGGAUCUUCGGACCUUGCGCGAUUGAAUGAGCCGAUGUCGGAUUAGCUAGUUGGCGGGGUAAAGG
rnacentral:rRNA from 1 species